rnacentral:rRNA from 1 species
AAAACGACUCUCGGCAACGGAUAUCUCGGCUCUCGCAUCGAUGAAGAACGGUAGSGAAAAUGCGAUACUUGGUGGUGAAUAUGCAGAAUCCCGUGAACCAUCGAGUCUUUGAACGCAAGUUGCGCCCGAAGCCAUUAGGCCGAGGGCACGUCUGCCUGGGCGUCAC